GCAACCAAUCAUAAAGCACUUUCCGCGCAGCACUUUAAGCUCAAGAUAAGGAUGUGAGAAACUGAAGUUUAUGCGUUUCACUUUUCUUCGGGUUUAUUUGCAUGAAAUUUUGGAACUAAUAAUGCAGUGGCUUAAAAUCAAGCUACUGGUUGCAUGUGUUACAGGUUUCACCCUGAGCUCUGCAGUUCACAUUUUCAUUGUCCCUCCAGCUCUAACGGCUCUGGUUGGUCAGAUGGUUCAGCUCAAUUGCAUACUGGAAGAUGGACAAGACUGUCAGACUCCCCAAUUACUUUGGCGCCACAGACACUCAUCUCCAAAUGGCACUGAAAGAAAUGAAAGAGAUAUUAGGACUGACAGUCACUACUCUAUUUUAAAUAAUCUGUCAGCUAGCAUUCUGAACAUUACAGCCGUGAAGCCCUCUGAUGCUGGACACUUCAUCUGUUCUGGGAUUUGUAUUGGGAAAGGACUUGCAAAACCACGAGAAGAGUCCUAUCUCACUGUCAAAGCCAUUCCUAAGGUGAAGAUUUAUCUUCAAUUGCCAACUAAUGAUCUGCAGAUAAAGACUUUCAUAUGCAGUGCUGUGGGUUUUUAUCCUCCUAAUAUUUCCAUCUUUUGGGAACAUUCUCCAUCUGGCAUGUCUACCUUGCUCAAGGAAGAAAACCACACACUCCUUCCGGAUGGCACCUAUAGCAUCAACUCAUCCCUUGAGAUCAGAUCCACAUUGUGGAGUUCAAGGAUGGAGAUCACAUGUGUGGUAAAUCACAGCUCUCUAACACAGCCACUGAAAGAGAGCAUUACAGGAGAUGAGGUGGAUUCAUGGUAUUGGUAUCUGCUUUUACUUCUUAUCAUUCCCCUUCUUAUUUUACCAUUUCUGCUGGUGAAAAUCUAUAAGGCAUGUCAGAAUAGAGGAGAAGUGCAGCUCAAUGACCAUGCAAUGGACAAACAGGCGGAUCAAUUAUGGUAUGCUUCACUACAACCAGCGAAACAAAUGACACAAGACAUGGAAGAUGGGUUUUCUGCACAUAGCACAGUUAGACCAUCAGCUGUAAAGAGGCGAGAACCACCUUCAGAAAGCUGUGAGGAAACUGUGAGCUACGCCACCUUAGCCUUGAGACAUUUAUAAGACACUUAACCAUUGUAAAUGGAGAUGAUGAGAGAAGUGAGAAGAUUAGUCUACCGUUUGACUAUGACAUGAUAUAACAUCUGGAUCCUCUAAUGGUGGCUCUUCAUUAGUAGCUAAUAAAUUCAUGCUAAUAUUGUACCUACGUUCAUCUGCAUUAUGUUAGUCAAUAAACAUGUUGUGAGCAAA